rnacentral:rRNA from 1 species
AUAUCAAUAAGCGGAGGAAAAGAAACCAACAGGGAUUGCCCUAGUAACGGCGAGUGAAGCGGCAACAGCUCAAAUUUGAAAUCUGGCCCUUUCAGGGUCCGAGUUGUAAUUUGCAGAGGGUGCUUUGGCGUUGGCUGUGGUCUAAGUUCCUUGGAACAGGACGUCGCAGAGGGUGAGAAUCCCGUAUGUGGCCGCCAGCCUCCGCCGUGUAAAGCCCCUUCGACGAGUCGAGUUGUUUGGGAAUGCAGCUCUAAAUGGGAGGUAAAUUCCUUCUAAAGCUAAAUACUGGCCAGAGACCGAUAGCGCACAAGUAGAGUGAUCGAAAGAUGAAAAGCACUUUGGAAAGAGAGUCAAAAAGCACGUGAAAUUGUUGAAAGGGAAGCGCUUGCAGCCAGACUUGCCUGCGGUUGCUCAUCCGGGCUCUUGCCCGGUGCACUCUUCCGUAGGCAGGCCAGCAUCAGUUCGGGCGGGUGGAUAAAGGCCUGCUAAACGUACCUCUCUUCGGGGAGGACUUAUAGGGUAGGCGACAUACACCCAGCCUGGACUGAGGUCCGCGCAUCUGCUAGGAUGCUGGCGUAAUGGCUGUAAGCGGCCCGUCUUGAAACACGGACCAAGGAGUCUAACAUCUAUGCGAGUGUUUGGGUGUCAAGCCCGGGCGCGCAAUGAAAGUGAACGGAGGUGGGAACCCCUCGGGGCGCACCAUCGACCGAUCCUGAUGUCUUCGGAUGGAUUUGAGUAAGAGCAUAGCUGUUGGGACCCGAAAGAUGGUGAACUAUGCCUGAAUAGGGUGAAGCCAGAGGAAACUCUGGUGGAGGCUCGCAGCGGUUCUGACGUGCAAAUCGAUCGU